rnacentral:tRNA from 2 species
CAGUAAAUAGUUUAAUUAAAAUAUUAAUUUUGGGGAUUUAAGUUGAGUUUGUCUCUUUACUGA